CAUCCCAGUGCUGACAGCAAAUUUCUGCCUAGUCCACAGGCACAGGAGUCCUUCCCAGCUUGUCCUGUAACAAGGAGUUAAUUUUUCUAGAUAAGCUGCAGAGGAAGAUUCUUGGGCCUUGAUAAAGAAGAUUUUUAUGAAGAAGCAGACUCCAGGCAGCAUCCCAACCAGCUGAACACUUUCAGGUCCCCACCUGUAAAAAGGACAAGAAAAACCAAAGGGGAGUCACCAUCAGUGUUUUCUCAACUGCCUGAUGUCUUCCACUU